rnacentral:rRNA from 1 species
UGGGGAAUAUUGCACAAUGGGCGAAAGCCUGAUGCAGCAACGCCGCGUGAGGGACGACGGCCUUCGGGUUGUAAACCUCUUUUAGUAGGGAAGAAGCGAAAGUGACGGUACCUGCAGAAAAAGCACCGGCUAACUACGUGCCAGCAGCCGCGGUAAUACGUAGGGUGCAAGCGUUGUCCGGAAUUAUUGGGCGUAAAGAGCUCGUAGGCGGUUUGUCGCGUCUGCUGUGAAAACCCGAGGCUCAACCUCGGGCCUGCAGUGGGUACGGGCAGACUAGAGUGCGGUAGGGGAGAUUGGAAUUCCUGGUGUAGCGGUGGAAUGCGCAGAUAUCAGGAGGAACACCGAUGGCGAAGGCAGAUCUCUGGGCCGUAACUGACGCUGAGGAGCGAAAGCAUGGGGAGCGAACA